ensembl:ncRNA Y50D4A.7 ncRNA
UCGUAAGAAUAUGGCCAGCAACUCGAUGGACCCCAUCCAAGAUUGGAAAAUGGGAAUAGGUCUUCAAACAUUUCUCUCGUGAACCAGGAUUCUAGUUUUGAAGCAGGCAGAUUAUUUGGGUCCGUUGGCCGAGUGCAUGAUUUCGGAGG